UACUCCUACGGAGGCAGCAGUAGGGAAUCUUCCACAAUGGACGAAAGUCUGAUGGAGCAACGCCGCGUGAGUGAAGAAGGGUUUCGGCUCGUAAAGCUCUGUUGUUAAAGAAGAACACGUAUGAGAGUAACUGUUCAUACGUUGACGGUAUUUAACCAGAAAGUCACGGCUAACUACGUGCCAGCAGCCGCGGUAAUAC
rnacentral:rRNA from 1 species